rnacentral:tRNA from 1 species
UCCUCAUUUGUCUAACGGCUAUGAUACCUCUUUUUCACAGAGGAGACCCGGGUUCGACUCCCGGAUGGGGAA